rnacentral:rRNA from 1 species
UACGUAGGGCGCAAGCGUUGUCCGGAAUUAUUGGGCGUAAAGAGCUCGUAGGCGGCUUGUCACGUCGAUUGUGAAAACCCACAGCUUAACUUCGGGCUUGCGGUUGAUACGGGCGGGCUGGAGUUCGGUAGGGGAGACUGGAAUUCCUGGUGUAGCGGUGAAAUGCGCAGAUAUCAGGAGGAACACCGGUGGCGAAGGCGGGUCUCUGGGCCGAUACUGACGCUGAGGAGCGAAAGCGUGGGGAGCGAACAGG